GACGAACGCUGGCGGCGUGCCUAAUACAUGCAAGUAGAACGCUGAAGGAGGAGCUUGCUUCUCUGGAUGAGUUGCGAACGGGUGAGUAACGCGUAGGUAACCUGCCUGGUAGCGGGGGAUAACUAUUGGAAACGAUAGCUAAUACCGCAUAAUAGUAGAUGUUGCAUGACAUUUGCUUAAAAGAUGCAAUUGCAUCACUACCAGAUGGACCUGCGUUGUAUUAGCUAGUUGGUGGGGUAACGGCUCACCAAGGCGACGAUACAUAGCCGACCUGAGAGGGUGAUCGGCCACACUGGGACUGAGACACGGCCCAGACUCCUACGGGAGGCAGCAGUAGGGAAUCUUCGGCAAUAGACGGAAGUCUGACCGAGCAACGCCGCGUGAGUGAAGAAGGUUUUCGGAUCGUAAAGCUCUGUUGUAAGAGGAGAACGAGUGUGGGAGUGGAAAGUUCACACUGUGACAGUAUCUUACCAGAAAGGGACGGCUAACUACGUG
rnacentral:rRNA from 1 species